AUACGGAGGGUGCGAGCGUUAAUCGGAAUUACUGGGCGUAAAGCGUACGUAGGCGGUUGGUUAAGUUAGAUGUGAAAGCCCCGGGCUUAACCUGGGAACUGCAUUUAAAACUGGCGAACUAGAGUUGAGUAGAGGGGAGUGGAAUUUCAGGUGUAGCGGAGAAAUGCGUAGAGAUCUGAAGGAACACCGGUGGCGAAGGCGACUCCCUGGACUCGAACUGACGCUGAGGUACGAAAGCGUGGGUAGCGAACGGGAUUAGAAACCCUUGUAGUCC
rnacentral:rRNA from 1 species